rnacentral:rRNA from 1 species
AAAGCCUGACGGAGCAACGCCGCGUGAGCGAAGAAGGUCUUCGGAUUGUAAAGCUCUGUCUUCUGAGACGAACCCUGUGGAGAGGAAAUGCUCCACAGUUGACGGUAUCAGAGGAGGAAGCCCCGGCUAACUACGUGCCAGCAGCCGCGGUAAUACGUAGGUGGCAAGCGUUGUCCGGAUUUACUGGGCGUAAAGGAUGCGUAGGCGGAUAUUUAAGUGGGAUGUGAAAUACCCGAGCUCAACUUGGGUGCUGCAUUCCAAACUGGACAUCUAGAGUGCGGGAGAGGAGAGUGGAAUUCCUAGUGUAGCGGUGAAAUGCGUAGAGAUUAGGAAGAACACCAGUGGCGAAGGCGACUCUCUGGACCGUAACUGACGCUGAGGCAUGAAAGCGUGGGGAGCAAAC